AACGAACGCUGGCGGCAUGCCUAACACAUGCAAGUCGAACGAGACCUUCGGGUCUAGUGGCGCACGGGUGCGUAACGCGAGGGAAUCUGCCCCUCGGUUCGGAAUAACAGUUAGAAAUGACUGCUAAUACCGGAUAAUGACUUCGGUCCAAAGAUUUAUCGCCGAGGGAUGAGCCCGCGUAAGAUUAGGUAGUUGGUGGGGUAAAGGCCUACCAAGCCGACGAUCUUUAGCUGGUCUGAGAGGAUGAUCAGCCACACUGGGACUGAGACACGGCCCAGACUCCUACGGGAGGCAGCAGUGGGGAAUAUUGGACAAUGGGCGAAAGCCUGAUCCAGCAAUGCCGCGUGAGUGAUGAAGGCCUUAGGGUUGUAAAGCUCUUUUACCAGGGAUGAUAAUGGCAGUACCUGGAGAAUAAGCUCCGGCUAACUCCGUGCCAGCCGCCGCCGUAA
rnacentral:rRNA from 1 species